rnacentral:tRNA from 1 species
CUCAGCUUGGCAGAGUAGUGCGCCGGAUUUAGGGUUCGGAAAUUCACGUUGAGAUGUCU